rnacentral:rRNA from 1 species
GAUGAACGCUGGCGGCGUGCCUAAUACAUGCAAGUCGAGCGAACGGACGAGAAGCUUGCUUCUCUGAUGUUAGCGGCGGACGGGUGAGUAACACGUGGAUAACCUACCUAUAAGACUGGGAUAACUUCGGGAAACCGGAGCUAAUACCGGAUAAUAUUUUGAACCGCAUGGUUCAAAAGUGAAAGACGGUCUUGCUGUCACUUAUAGAUGGAUCCGCGCUGCAUUAGCUAGUUGGUAAGGUAACGGCUUACCAAGGCAACGAUGCAUAGCCGACCCGAGAGGGAGACUGGCUAAAAGGGAAAUGAGACCAGCUCAGGAAUACGACGGGAGGGAGCAGUAGGGCAGGUUACGUAAAGGUCGAAAGCUGGAAGGAGAAAGUGAGUGGGAGUAAUGAUAGUUAUCGGAUCGUAAAAACAUGUUAUUAGGGAAGAACAAAAGUGUAAGUAACUAUGACGGGCUUGACGGAGCCUAAUUAGAGGGGCAGGGCUAAGUACGGG